GGCCUGGUGGUCUAGUAGUAUGAUUCCUUCUUAGGGUGGCAUGCCAACAGUUGGAGGAGGUCCCGGGUUCAAUUCCCGGCCAGGCCC